rnacentral:rRNA from 1 species
AACGAACGCUGGCGGCAGGCUUAACACAUGCAAGUCGAACGCAUCCUUCGGGGUGAGUGGCAGACGGGUGAGUAACGCGUGGGAACGUGCCCUUCAGUUCGGGAUAACCCAGGGAAACUUGGGCUAAUACCGGAUACGUGCGAGAGCAGAAAGAUUUAUCGCUGAAGGAUCGGCCCGCGUCUGAUUAGCUAGUUGGUGAGGUAAUGGCUCACCAAGGCGACGAUCAGUAGCUGGUCUGAGAGGAUGAUCAGCCACAUUGGGACUGAGACACGGCCCAAACUCCUACGGGAGGCAGCAGUGGGGAAUAUUGGACAAUGGGCGCAAGCCUGAUCCAGCCAUGCCGCGUGAGUGAUGAAGGCCUUAGGGUUGUAAAGCUCUUUCGUCCGGGACGAUAAUGACGGUACCGGAAGAAGAAGCCCCGGCUAACUUCGUGCCAGCCGCCGCAGUAACAC